rnacentral:lncRNA from 1 species
UGGAAUGUUCUGGAAACAGAGUAAGCAAGGAGACAAGUGACAGGUGAGGAGGUCGGUGAGAGGCUGGGGCAUCCCGCUCCAGAUCCUCAGUGUGGAUUCUUGGGCUGAUUUUGGAAGCCUUCCAUGGGCUGGCCCCACCUUUCCAGUUUCCUAUUCCUUACCAGGUGUCCAUUCCAGGAAGGAGGCUGACCUGAGAAGGGAAGGAAAGGGCACACCUGGAUCACCCACAGAGCCUCACACUGUGGCCAGUGAAGGCUGCUCACUCGGGCCACCUUCCCAGAGCUGCUGCCACCACCUCCAUCAUCUCCAGCUGCCAGCCUGCCUGACUCCAUCUGCAGAGGAGAAACACGGCUGGAAGCGAGAGAGGCUGUUUUACUUUGUAUGCCCAGGUGUACCCAUGUAGCCACACUCACAAGAUGGGAAACUGGGGCCCAAGGAGGAGCAGGAUGUGUCAUGGGUCUCAUCAAGCAACUCAAUAAGGUCUCCUGGAUCCAAAGCGAUCUUCAUGUGGAGAUUUCCCAGGUUCCACCAAGCUCUGGCAGUCAAAGGUCUAUGGAAAGUUCAGGAAGAAGAAGAGACUGAGGAGAAGGCCUAUGCCUGGUGUAGUGGAUGCUGUGGUGUGCCACCCAGGCCCCAGGCUGAG